rnacentral:rRNA from 1 species
GAUGAACGCUAGCUACAGGCUUAACACAUGCAAGUCGAGGGGCAGCAUGGUCUUAGCUUGCUAAGGCCGAUGGCGACCGGCGCACGGGUGAGUAACACGUAUCCAACCUGCCGUCUACUCUUGGACAGCCUUCUGAAAGGAAGAUUAAUACAAGAUGGCAUCAUGAGUCCGCAUGUUCACAUGAUUAAAGGUAUUCCGGUAGACGAUGGGGAUGCGUUCCAUUAGAAAGUAGGCGGGGUAACGGCCCACCUAGUCUUCGAUGGAUAGGGGUUCUGAGAGGAAGGUCCCCCACAUUGGAACUGAGACACGGUCCAAACUCCUACGGGAGGCAGCAGUGAGGAAUAUUGGUCAAUGGGCGAGAGCCUGAACCAGCCAAGUAGCGUGAAGGAUGACUGCCCUAUGGGUUGUAAACUUCUUUUAUAAAGGAAUAAAGUCGGGUAUGGAUACCCGUUUGCAUGUACUUUAUGAAUAAGGAUCGGCUAACUCCGUG